rnacentral:rRNA from 1 species
GAUGAACGCUGGCGGCGUGCCUAAUACAUGCAAGUCGAGCGAACAGACGAGGAGCUUGCUCCUCUGACGUUAGCGGCGGACGGGUGAGUAACACGUGGAUAACCUACCUAUAAGACUGGGAUAACUUCGGGAAGCCGGAGCUAAUACCGGAUAAUAUAUUGAACCGCAUGGUUCAAUAGUGAAAGACGGUUUUGCUGUCACUUAUAGAUGGAUCCGCGCCGCAUUAGCUAGUUGGUAAGGUAACGGCUUACCAAGGCAACGAUGCGUAGCCGACCUGAGAGGGUGAUCGGCCACACUGGAACUGAGACACGGUCCAGACUCCUACGGGAGGCAGCAGUAGGGAAUCUUCCGCAAAGGGCGAAAGCCUGACGGAGCAACGCCGCGUGAGUGAUGAAGGUCUUCGGAUCGUAAAACUCUGUUAUUAGGGAAGAACAAAUGUGUAAGUAACUAUGCACGUCUUGACGGUACCUAAUCAGAAAGCCACGGCUAACUACGUG